rnacentral:rRNA from 1 species
GACGAACGCUGGCGGUGUGCUUAACACAUGCAAGUCGAACGGAAAGGCCCUGCUUUUGUGGGGUGCUCGAGUGGCGAACGGGUGAGUAACACGUGAGUAACCUGCCCUUGACUUUGGGAUAACUUCAGGAAACUGGGGCUAAUACCGGAUAGGAGCUCCUGCUGCAUGGUGGGGGUUGGAAAGUUUCGGCGGUUGGGGAUGGACUCGCGGCUUAUCAGCUUGUUGGUGGGGUAGUGGCUUACCAAGGCUUUGACGGGUAGCCGGCCUGAGAGGGUGACCGGCCACAUUGGGACUGAGAUACGGCCCAGACUCCUACAGGAGGCAGCAGUGGGGAAUAUUGCACAAUGGGCGGAAGCCUGAUGCAGCAACGCCGCGUGCGGGAUGACGGCCUUCGGGUUGUAAACCGCUUUCGCCUGUGACGAAGCGUGAGUGACGGUAAUGGGUAAAGAAGCACCGGCUAACUACGUG